rnacentral:rRNA from 1 species
GACGAACGCUGGCGGCGUGCUUAACACAUGCAAGUCGAACGGAAAGGCCCUGCUUUUGUGGGGUGCUCGAGUGGCGAACGGGUGAGUAACACGUGAGUAACCUGCCCUUGACUUUGGGAUAACUUCAGGAAACUGGGGCUAAUACCGGAUAGGAGCUCCUGCUGCAUGGUGGGGGUUGGAAAGUUUCGGCGGUUGGGGAUGGACUCGCGGCUUAUCAGCUUGUUGGUGGGGUAGUGGCUUACCAAGGCUUUGACGGGUAGCCGGCCUGAGAGGGUGACCGGCCACAUUGGGACUGAGAUACGGGCCAGACUCCUACGGGGGCCAUCGGUGGGAAAUAUUGCACAAUGGGCGGAAGCCUGAUGCAGCAACGCCGCGUGCGGGAUGACGGCCGUCGGGUUGUAAACCGCUUUCGCCUGUGACGAAGCGUGAGUGACGGUAAUGGGUAAAGAAGCACCGGCUAACUACGUG